AGAGUUUGAUCAUGGCUCAGGACGAACGCUGGCGGCGUGCUUAACACAUGCAAGUCGAACGAGAAUCUUAUCAGUGGAAACUUCGGUAGAAACAGAUAAGAGGAAAGUGGCGAACGGGUGAGUAACGCGUGAGCAACCUGCCUUACACAAAGGGAUAGCCUCGGGAAACCGGGAUUAAUACCAUAUGAGACCCCAUUGGCGAGUGCCAAAGAGGUUAAAGAUUUAUCGGUGUAAGAUGGGCUCGCGUCUGAUUAGCUAGUUGGUGGGAUAAAAGCCUACCAAGGCGACGAUCAGUAACCGGCUUGAGAGAGUGAACGGUCACAUUGGAACUGAGACACGGUCCAAACUCCUACGGGAGGCAGCAGUGGGGAAUAUUGCACAAUGGGGGAAACCCUGAUGCAGCGACGCCGCGUGAGCGAAGAAGGUUUUCGAAUCGUAAAGCUCUGUCCUUGGAGAAGAUAAUGACGGUAACCAAGGAGGAAGCACCGGCUAAAUCCGUGCCAGCAGCCGCGGUAAUACGUAUGGUGCGAGCGUUGUCCGGAAUUAUUGGGCGUAAAGGGUACGUAGGCGGUUUAGCAAGUCAGAUGUUAAAGCGUGGGGCUCAACCCCAUAAAGCAUUUGAAACUGUUAGACUUGAGUAGUGGAGAGGAAAGUGGAAUUCCUAGUGUAGCGGUGAAAUGCGUAGAUAUUAGGAGGAAUACCAGUUGCGUAAGGCGACUUUCUGGACACAAACU
rnacentral:rRNA from 1 species